ACUGUGUAAUUAGUUUUUACUUUCGUCUAUAUUUAAUACUUCAUGCAUACGUUUAAAGAUUUGAUGUGACGGAGAAUCUGAAAAAUUUUGUAAAAUUUUUUAGAAAUUAAACAAGGCCUAAGUAUAAGAAGAAGAUGGAUCGCUCAAAUAACACGGAGAGUUUUAUAAGCAAGCGUAACAUCAAUAAGCUAUAUAUGUGUUCGCAUAUCGACAACCUGUCAGCAGCAAGUACCGGCCCGUUUUCAAAUGGUUGGUGGGGUUGUUUUUAGAUAGAUGCAUUUGAACGAUUCCGGGGGUAUCAGCUAUCUUGUACAAGCGUAAUUGUUGCUUGCAUAUGUCCGUUGUAAAAAUAAACCUUUCUUUUUUUUGUUUUUCUUUUCAAAAAUGAAAUGAACAUGUAGACGCGCGCACGCAUGUCUAGUACCUUGUGUAUGAGGUUGAAACUAAAGGCAGCUAGCGUUGAAAUUUAGCUCUGUACAAAGUAAGUUAUUACUAGACCUUGUGUUGACACCGUUUUUGGACACGUAUCUUUUAGUACGCAUUUGGAGUUAAUGGGAUAUAGAUCGGCAGAUAGAGCAGUGGUAACCAGUCUGCAGGGGAGUUGCCGAUGGAAGAUGGUACCGAUGGAGAAACAACUGAAUAUGACUAAGUCCAGGGAUGGUGAUGUGUUCAUGCCGAUGACCAGUGCCGGUGUUUACCGAUGGCUGCGACAGGUAGUCUGCCGAUGAGUCUGAAGAAAAGCGUGGAGGUUACCGAUUGACUUGUGGCAGUAUCCCAAUCGGUUACGGAAGGAUAGUUUAAUGUUUUCCUUAGUCGUUAGAGUUCGUUUUGUAUACAGGUUCCGGGUAAUUUGGAAUUCGAAUCCUAGUCGUGUCUGAUUGUAGCUCUUUGAGCAGGGUAUAAAUGUAGACCCUAGGGCCAUGUAAUGGGAAUCAAUCUAUCAAUCAAUCAAACACAAGUUUUUACUCAUAUUCCAGCAUCUACUUUUCGACGACUUCGUCAUAUUUUUUUUCCUUUUUACUACGAGUUCUUAGGAAUUCGUCGAGUUAAACUCGGCGUGUUCUCAAGUUCCGCGUGAGCACCUCUUGGCCGUGACAUCCGGGCGCAUCGCUGUUGUCGUGACCAAAGUGUUCGAUUUACCACCUUUGUUGAUUGUAAGGUCAAAAAUCGGCUGGCACGCCUUAACGUUUG
rnacentral:lncRNA from 1 species